rnacentral:misc_RNA from 1 species
GCAAACUUGGUCAUUUAGAGGAAGUAAAAGUCGUAACAAGGUUUCCGUAGGUGAACCUGCGGAAGGAUCAUUAAUGAGUUUGAAAGCGGGGGUCUGUUGCUGGUGUGGAAACGCACAUGUGCACGGCCUCUGUGCUCAAUCCGUCAACUCUUGUGCACCUUAACAAAGUGAGUAAUCUUUUCUGGCAGUAUGCGAAUGGGAAUUACUAUCAGUUGGUAAGGCGAACACAUUCGUGUUAGUAGUCUGAAGGCGAAAGUAGUUUGUUCCGCUUGCCUGAUUGAGGUGAAAGCUUUGACUUUAUUACAAACCUUUUGUUAUGUCUUGUGGAAUGUAUUAGCUCCUUGUGGGCGAAAUAAAUACAACUUUCAACAACGGAUCUCUUGGCUCUCGCAUCGAUGAAGAACGCAGC